rnacentral:rRNA from 1 species
GACGAACGCUGGCGGCGUGCUUAACACAUGCAAGUCGAACGGGCCUGUCUUCUUUUUUGGGGGUGGGUUGAGUGGCGAACGGGUGAGUAUCACGUGAGUAACCUGCCCUUCGGUCCUGGAUAACCGCUUGAAAGGGCGGCUAAUACGGGGUGGUCCGGUUGGUCCGCAUGGGCUGGUCGGGAUAGAUUCACUGUUUUUGGUGUUUCGGCGGGGGAUGGGCUCGCGGCCUAUCAGCUUGUUGGUGGGGUGAUGGCCUACCAGGGCGGUGACGGGUAGCCGGGCUGAGGGGGUGGGCGGCCACAGUGGGACUGAGAUGCGGCCCAGACUUCUGCGGGGGGCAGCAGUGGGGGGUAGUGCACAGUGGGCGGAAGCCUGAUGCAGCGACGUCGCGUGAGGGAUGGAGGCCUUCGGGUUGUGAACCUCUGUUUCCGGUGGUGAAGGCCCUGUCCGUGUGGUGGGGUUGACGGUAGCCGGGGAUGAAGCGCCGGCUAACUACGUG